CCGCGGUCGCGCGGGUCGGAAACCGAGCAGGGCUUCCCGAGACCGGGGCCGUUCGACUGCGAGUUUCCGCGGCGCCAGACGCAAUUGUCUCUCGUCCGAAGGACGCCGCAGCCGGUUGGGCAGCGCAAGCGUGACGGCCUGAGGGGCGGAAGGUGGCAGGUGGCCGGUGGCGCGCCUCGUGCGCGUCGCCGGUUGUUAGCCGUUCCGCCAGUGGCCCGUCGCCCGACCGAUGUGUCGCCGCCUCCUCUUCAGGAAGUCGUGACAGGGCGCGGCAAGUGAAGGCUGCCGUCCGCCGCACUCCUACGGAGUGGGCGGGCGAGCAGUCGGCUCUGUUGGCCGCGACGGACACGUCGGAGGUCGGAGGCUUGCGGCGAGUAGGUCGGUCACCCACCCGACCCGUCUUGAAACACGGACCAAGGAGUCUAACAUGUGCGCGAGUCAAUGGGUCUUGAACAGGCCCAGGGGCGCAAUGAAAGCAAAGGUCGGCUCCCGUCGACCGAGUUGGGAUCCCCUCCUCGAGGGGGGCGCACCAACGACCCGUCCUAUGCGGCUCGCCGCUUGGGCGGAGUGUGAGCGUACACGUUGGGACCCGAAAGAUGGUGAACUAUGCCCGGACAGGACGAGGCCAGAGGAAACUCUGGUGGAGGUCCGCA
rnacentral:rRNA from 1 species